UACGUAGGGCGCAAGCGUUGUCCGGAAUUAUUGGGCGUAAAGAGCUCGUAGGCGGUUUGUCGCGUCUGCUGUGAAAGCCCGGGGCUCAACCCCGGGUCUGCAGUGGGUACGGGCAGACUAGAGUGCAGUAGGGGAGACUGGAAUUCCGUGGUGUAGCGGUGAAAUGCGCAGAUAAUCAGGAGGAACACCGAAUGGCGAAGGCAGGUCUCCUGGGCGUGAUUG
rnacentral:rRNA from 1 species